GCGGGAUUGGUGUAAUGGUAGCACAGCAGCCCUCCAAGCUGUUGGCGACGGUUCGAUGCCGUUAUCUCGCUCCA
rnacentral:tRNA from 1 species